GUCUACAGCCAUACCACCCUGUGCACGCCCGAUCUCAUGUGAUCUCGGGAGCUACGCAGGGUCGAGCCUGGUUAGUACUUGGAUGGGAGAAAGUAUGUGCCGACC
ensembl:rRNA 5S_rRNA 5S ribosomal RNA